rnacentral:miRNA from 1 species
CAAAACUGUUGUACUAGACUUGG